rnacentral:rRNA from 1 species
UAAUAACUUAUUAAUGGAGUUGGAAAAUACGAACAAUAGUUUAAACACCAAAGAAUUUGGCGGUAUCUUAUUUAAUUAGGGGAACCUGUCCCAUAAUCGAUAAUCCACGAAAGUCUUACCUAAUUUUGAAACUCAGUUAGUGUACUGCCGUCUCAAGUAUACCUUUAUGAGAGUAUACAAUAAAUUAUAAAUAAAUAGGACGUCAGGUCAAAGUGCUGCUUAUAAUUAGGAUGGAGAUGGGUUACAAACUUAAUAGAGAUAUGGAAAAAUAUAUUAAAUAUAUAUUUAAAAAGUGGACUUAAUAGUAAUUAAAUAAUAAUUA